ACCGACCGGCAUUAUGUUGAAAUUUUUGUUAACAUUUGCCACUGGGCUCUAUGCUGGAAUAUACAUUGACCAGAAUUACAAGUUGCCCAAUGUGUCUGACCCCAAAAGUCUUUAUGAAGAAGUAAUGAAGAUGAUUCAAAAAUUUGAGAAAGGUGACAAGGGAGACAAGUAGAAGAAAAGGAUAUGAUAUAGACAACACAUCAACAUUCCCUACCAAAUCAGACUGAGCUUUGUGUUUGUGUUUUACCAGAGAGAUUAUUUUUAUACUUUAUAUAUAUCGAACAUGGCAGGUUUGAUGAAGACUAGUACAGUUAACACAUUGGACUCAAAGGUUUCUUGUAAGUCACACAUUUUCUGUCAAGGACUUGAAGGUCUGCAAUGAGUACCUUCAUACUGAUUUACAUGUAAAUGUGACACAACAUGGCAAUAAGUGAAAGUUGCUGUAAAUGACAUAUCACACCAACAACUGACAGAGUUAAUGUGUAUUGAACUAGUGUAUGCAGCAUUUUGUAAAUGUGAGUUGUUUAUGUAUUUAUUUUCAAAGAUAUGUUUUUUUCCUUUUUCUGGUAUGAAAUAUAUAGAUUGAAUGAUCUGCAUACCAAUAUAUCUUAACAGCUGUACGGCAAAAGGUCAAAUUUAAUCAGUUUUGGCCAGGAAUAAAUGAAAAUUUGUCAUUUAUGUAUGCUGAAGACAUUUUUAUUUUUUGUAUGGGUGAGGUUGACUAGUUGCUAAAGACAUGUAUGCUGUUACCUUACACUGUGGAAUGAGAACCCAGACCGAUUCAUCUGUAAAUCAUUUAGCCUAGUAAGUCAUCAAAAUUCAAAGGGAAAAGAAAUGGUCAAGCAAUGGUUAACAAUUUAUAUAGAAUUAAUGAUCCGACAGAAUAUGAUCAUAUGAUAGAAAGAUAUUAUUAUUUGCAUAAUAUAACAAGAAAUGAAUACCACAAAGCUGUUCAUAUGUCAUAUUUAAAAACUGAUGGAAAUUGUAACAACAAAAUUUAAAUAUGCGAAUAUGUAUCAGUAUAAAAUGAAUGCAUCUUUUAUGGAUAGAUGGCUAUCUUCAUUUAAUACUUGUUGCAUGUGUAGCUCUUUGAUGAAAAUGUAAAUAAAAACUUAACACAAAA